rnacentral:SRP_RNA from 1 species
GCCGGGCGUGGUGGCGCAUGCCUGUAAUCCCAGCUACUCGGGAGGCUGAGGCAGGAGAAUCACUUGAACCCGGGGGGCUGGGGUUGCAGUGAGCCAAGAUCACGCCACUGCACUCCAGCCCAGGCAACAGAGCAAGACUCUGCCUCAA